rnacentral:rRNA from 1 species
CCAUAACUCCAUACCAGGUUGAAUACACUCGUUUUCAUCCGAUCAACGAAGUUAAGCAACGUCGAGCGCGGUCACUACUUGGAUGGGUUACCGCUUGGGAACACAAUUAGUUUUUUUUU